GACGAACGCUGGCGGCGUGCUUAACACAUGCAAGUCGAGCGGUAAGGCCCUUUCGGGGGUACACGAGCGGCGAACGGGUGAGUAACACGUGGGUGACCUGCCCUCAGCUCUGGGAUAAGCCUGGGAAACCGGGUCUAAUACUGGAUAUGACUCCAUGACGCAUGUUGUGGGGUGGAAAGCCUUGUGCGGCUGAGGAUGGGCCCGCGGCCUAUCAGCUUGUUGGUGGGGUNANGGCCUACCAAGGCGACGACGGGUAGCCGGCCUGAGAGGGCGACCGGCACACUGGGACUGAGACACGGCCCAGACUCCUACGGGAGGCAGCAGUGGGGAAUCUUGCGCAAUGGGCGAAAGCCUGACGCAGCGACGCCGCGUGGA
rnacentral:rRNA from 1 species